rfam:Aedes albopictus isolate Foshan contig117835, whole genome shotgun sequence.
UAGCCUAGUGGUUAAGGCUACGGAUCGCCAUUCCGGAGACGGCGGGUUCAAUUCCCGU